rnacentral:lncRNA from 1 species
UCGCAAAGCGCAUGCGCACUCGAGUCCACACGUUAUAUCAGCAGCUGUUGACAGCAGAGAGCGCAUGCAUGUGUUUACUGUUGCGUUGCCACCCACACCGUCAGGAGAGAUUUUUGACAGCAAGGUUCUGUCCAGUGUCCAGAUAGAUCAUGAAGAUCGCCGUUCUCGACUGGUCAGACCGGGCAGCAGCUGCUCAAUCAGGCUCUGCAGGGAGAAACUGACGCUGACGCACGAGAACCUCAAGGUAAAUUGUAGGAGGAAAGCUUAAAGUUAUAUAUUGUUAUUGUUUUUGAAAAAGCAUAGUGAAAUUUUGAAAUACUUUUUGUUACAUUGUUUAUGAAUUGCUCCCAGGUAUAAGUAAUGGGUUGGACUGCAGAUUCACAAUAACAUAAUUUUGCAAGGUCCUUCUUGACAAAAUGAAUAGUUUAUAUGAGUAUAAUAGUCUGAGCUAUUCAUUAGCUCAUAUUUUCUUUCUUAUCUAGUUGACUAACGUCUGCACAAUGGUAAAUGCUGAAAUGACUAUUUGGCUUAGAAUUGGAAUCAUAUUAAAGAGUUCCAAGUCACUAAGCAGUCAUUCUUGAGACAUGGGACAAAACAGGUCCAGCAAGGGUAACUGCUAUUAGGUUUGAAAAUAAAAAUAUUUUCAAUUUUAAAUGUCAUGAGGGAUUAAUAAUAGAAUGUAUUUAGCACAAUUAUCACCUUCAAUUUAAUUUUCUCAUUAUUAUACCAAAUCUAUGUUUCUUAAUGUCCUCUCACUACAUCUAAAACAGUGUGUCCACAGAGAAGGGUUCAAUCAUUCAUAUGUAAUAAAAUUGAUAAAAAUGUUUUUUUUAAUGAUGAAAAAGAGCUUGUUUUAUCAAAAGCAACCCUUAAUAAAAUCUCCUAUCAAAGCAAGGUUGUUUUUUAACAUGCAUGUUUAAUACGAUUUUAAAGUUGCGUCCCCACUUUUUGUCAACACCGUCAGACAUUCAAUAAAAUGUAAUAGAAUCAGAGAAUAUCGGGCAGCUGUCACUCUAAAGGACCCCCUUGCCACAGUUCACCUCUGCAGAGUACAUCAGUGUCAGACAGGCUCUGCGAAGUUUCAUAGUUUUAGAAUAUUUUAAAUCCUAAUGUUCAAAUUUCCUGUGUCACAGCCAUGAUAUGUCAACACCAUCUUCCAAUUUCUGAGGAAAUUAUUUGAAAUAUUUAGAUAAUUUGAUUCUCCUUAAGCAGGUUCCAUUAGCAUCUAGCAUCAACAGAAAAAAUAAAAUGGCUACUACAUGAACUCCAUUGGUUUUGUGAAAGAAAUGCCAAAUUUGUCAACACCGUCAGAUGUCACCACCAUAAGAUUUUGAGUGAUAUAUCAAAAUACUUA